rnacentral:rRNA from 1 species
GAUGAACGCUAGCGGCAGGCUUAAUACAUGCAAGUCGAGGGGGAUCAGUUGGGUAGCAAUACCUGGCUGUGAGACCGGCAAAACGGGUGAGGAACACGUACGCAACUUUCCCAAAACUGGUGAAUAGCCCUCCGAAAGGAGGAUUAAUACACCGUAACAUAACGAAAUGGCAUCAUUUUGUUAUUAUAGCAGCAAUGCGGUUUUGGAUAGGCGUGCGCCUGAUUAGGUAGUUGGCGGGGUAACGGCCCACCAAGCCUACGAUCAGUAACUGGUGUGAGAGCACGACCAGUCACACGGGCACUGAGACACGGGCCCGACUCCUACGGGAGGCAGCAGUAAGGAAUAUUGGUCAAUGGACGAAAGUCUGAACCAGCCAUGCCGCGUGAAGGAUGAAGGUCCUCUGGAUUGUAAACUUCUUUUAUCUGGGACGGAAAAAAGGGAAGUUCUUUCUCACUUGUACGGUACCAGAAGAA